rnacentral:rRNA from 1 species
CCCAGACUCCUACGGGAGGCAGCAGUGGGGAAUAUUGCACAAUGGGGGAAACCCUGAUGCAGCGACGCCGCGUGAGUGAAGAAGUAUUUCGGUAUGUAAAGCUCUCUCAGCAGGGAAGAAAAUGACGGUACCUGAUUAAGAAGCCCCGGCUGACUACGUGCCAGCAGCCGCGGUAAUACGUAGGGGGCAAGCGUUAUCCGGAUUUACUGGGUGUAAAGGGAGCGUAGACGGUGAUGCAAGUCAGAAGUGAAAGCCCGGGGCUCAACUCCGGGACUGCUUUUGAAACCGUGUAACUGGAGUGCAGGAGAGGUAAGCGGAAUUCCUGGUGUAGCGGUGAAAUGCGUAGAUAUCAGGAGGAACACCAGUGGCGAAGGCGGCUUACUGGACUGUAACUGACGUUGAGGCUCGAAAGCGUGGGGAGCAAACAGGAUUAGAUACCCGCGUA